rnacentral:rRNA from 1 species
UACAGAGGUCCCAAGCGUUGUUCGGAUUCACUGGGCGUAAAGGGUGCGUAGGUGGUGAGGUAAGUCGGAUGUGAAAGCUCCGAGCUACAACCGUCGGAAAUGGCAUUGGAAACUACCUUGCUAGAGGGUUGAGGGGGACUGGAAUACUUGGUGUAGCAGUGAAAUGCGUAGAUAUCAAGUAGAACACCAGUGGCGAAGGCGAGUCCCUGGAAACUCCUGACACUCGAGGCACGAAGCUAGGGAGC